rnacentral:rRNA from 1 species
GGGGAUAACCCUCCGAAAGGAGGGCUAAUACCGCAUAAGAUCUUCACUCCCAAGAAGAGAAGAGGAAAGAUGGCCUCUAUACUAUGCUAUCGCUUUCGAUGAGCCUGCGUCCUAUUAGUUAGUUGGUGGGGUAAUGGCCUACCAAGCCACAAUGGGUAGCCGGUCUGAGAGGAUGUACGGCCACAAUGAGACUGAAUACGGCCCAGACUCCUACGGGAGGCAGCAGUGGGGAAUAUUGCGCAAUGGGGAAACCCUGACGCAGCGACGCCGCGUGGAUGAUGAAGGCCUUUGGGUGUAAAGUCCUGUUCUGGGGGAAGAAACCUUAAGGGUCCAAUAGGCCCUAAGCUGACGGUACCCCAAGAGAAAGCUCCGGCUAAUUAUGUGCCAGCAGCGCGGUAAU